UGAACGCUGGCGGCGUGCCUAAUACAUGCAAGUCGAGCGAACAGACGAGGAGCUUGCUCCUCUGACGUUAGCGGCGGACGGGUGAGUAACACGUGGAUAACCUACCUAUAAGACUGGGAUAACUUCGGGAAACCGGAGCUAAUACCGGAUAAUAUAUUGAACCGCAUGGUUCAAUAGUGAAAGACGGUUUUGCUGUCACUUAUAGAUGGAUCCGCGCCGCAUUAGCUAGUUGGUAAGGUAACGGCUUACCAAGGCAACGAUGCGUAGCCGACCUGAGAGGGUGAUCGGCCACACUGGAACUGAAACACGGUCCAGACUCCUACGGGAGGCAGCAGUAGGGAAUCUUCCGCAAUGGGCGAAAGCCUGACGGAGCAACGCCGCGUGAGUGAUGAAGGUCUUCGGAUCGUAAAACUCUGUUAUUAGGGAAGAACAAAUGUGUAAGUAACUAUGCACGUCUUGACGGUACCUAAUCAGAAAGCCACGGCUAACUACGUG
rnacentral:rRNA from 1 species